UAGGGUAUAGUUCAGUGGUAGAGCACAUGCUUAGCAUGCAUGAGGUCCCAGGUUCAAUCACCAGUACCUUUA
rnacentral:tRNA from 1 species